UACGGAGGGGGCUAGCGUUGUCCGAAGUUACUGGGCGUAAAGCGCGCGUAGGCGGGUUGGUGAGUCCGGCUGUGAAAGCCCGGAGCUCAACUCCGGAGGGUCGGUGGAUACUGCCAGUCUUGAAGGUGCUAGGGGGGAGAUGGAAUUACCGGUGUAGCGGUGAAAUGCGUAGAUAUCGGUAGGAACACCAGUGGCGAAGGCGGUCUCCUGGGGCAUUCUUGACGCUGAGGCGCGGAAGGCCAGGGGAGCAAACGGG
rnacentral:rRNA from 1 species